rnacentral:rRNA from 1 species
CGCAGCCGCGGGAAUACGAAGGGUGCAAGCGUUAAUCGGAAUUACUGGGCGUAAAGCGUGCGUAGGCGGUUUGUUAAGUCUGUUGUGAGAUCCCCGGGCUCAACCUGGGAAUGGCAAUGGAUACUGGCAAGCUAGAGUGUGUCAGAGGAUGGUGGAAUUCCCGGUGUAGCGGUGAAAUGCGUAGAGAUCGGGAGGAACAUCAGUGGCGAAGGCGGCCAUCUGGGACAACACUGACGCUGAGGCACGAAAGCGUGGGGAGCAAACAGGAUUAGAUACCCCCGUAGUCCCUGUCUCUUAUACC